AUGCAAAAAACCCCGACUUCGGGAGGGGUGUAUUUAUUAGAUAAAAAACCCAAUGCCCUUCGGGGCUCUUUGGUGAUUCAUGAUAACUUAACGGAUCGCAUGGCCUUGCGCCGGCGACGGUUCAUUCAAAUUUCUGCCCUAUCAACUUUCGAUGGUAAGGUAUUGGCUUACCAUGGUUUCAACGGGUAACGGAUUUUUAGGGAAAGAUCCCGGAGAGGGAGCCUGAGAAACGGCUACCACAUCCAAGGAAGGCAGCAGGCGCGCAAAUUACCCAAUCCCGACACGGGGAGGUAGUGACAAUAAAUACUGAUACAGGGCUCUUUUGGGUCUUGUAAUCGGAAUGAGUACAAUUUAAAUACCUUAACGAGGAACAAUUGGAGGGCAAGUCUGGUGCCAGCAGCCGCGGUAAUUCCAGCUCCAAUAGCGUAUAUUAAAGUUGUUGCAGUUAAAAAGCUCGUAGUUGAACCUUGGGCCUGGCUGGCUGGUCCGCCUCACCGCGUGUACUGGUCCGGCCGGGCCUUUCCUUCUGGAGAACCGCAUGCCCUUUACUGGGUGUGUCGGGGAACCAGGACUUUUACUUUGAGAAAAUUAGAGUGUUCAAAGCAGGCCUUUGCUCGAAUACGUUAGCAUGGAAUAAUAGAAUAGGACGUGCGGUCCUAUUUUGUUGGUUUCUAGAACCGCCGUAAUGAUUAAUAGGGAUAGUCGGGGGCGUCAGUAUUCAAUUGUCAGAGGUGAAAUUCUUGGAUCUAUUGAAGACUAACUACUGCGAAAGCAUUCGCCAAGGAUGUUUUCAUUAAUCAGUGAACGAAAGUUAGGGGAUCGAAGACGAUCAGAUACCGUCGUAGUCUUAACCGUAAACUAUGCCGACUAGGGAUCGGGCGAUGUUU
rnacentral:rRNA from 1 species